UACGGGGGGGGCAAGCGUUGUUCGGAAUUACUAGGCGUAAAGGGCUCGUAGGUGGCCAUCUAAGUCGGACGUGAAAUCCCUCAGCUUAACUGGGGAACUGCGUCCGAUACUGGAUGGCUUGAGUUUGGGAGAGGGAUGCGGAAUUCCAGGUGUAGCGGUGAAAUGCGUAGAUAUCUGGAGGAACACCGGUGGCGAAGGCGGCAUCCUGGACCAACACUGACACUGAGGAGCGAAAGCCAGGGGAGCAAACGGG
rnacentral:rRNA from 1 species